rnacentral:lncRNA from 1 species
CAAAAUCAUUGCAUCUGUAAUAAGGCUCCCUGGCCCGGGAAGGCUAUGAAACAGGCAACAUGGACAAUUUAAAGGUGUACAACAUCCGAGGUUCCAUUUCACCCUCAGGCAGCACGGAGUGGACAAGAGAUGGGGUCUCACUUUGUCACCCAGGCUGGGCUCAAACUCUUGGCUUCAAGCGAUCUUCUCGCCUUGGUCUCCCAAAGUGCUGGGAUUACAGGCUUGAACUACUGUACUCGACUGACUUUUCCUAUUUCUAAUGUCAGCAUGAAGAACACAAGAAGUCAGCUUCAAAGGGACAUCAUGUUCUGGGAGAAAAUCGUUCUAUUUCAUGCCUAAAAUGGUAACAAAGCAAGUGAAAGCUGAUCUGCUGUGUGUCUCCUGGAUAGUGACAGGUUCUGGUACCCAAAUAAGCAGACCUAAUGAAGCUCAGAGAUUCCCAGCUUGGAUGAACUAUUUACUCCUCAUGAGCUCAAUAUUAACUGUGGAGUCAUCUUGCAACUACAGAGCCCUUUGCAGAGUGACCACAGGAAGCCAGGCAUGGAGGAAGAAGGCGACAAUAAGCAGUCACUUGUGUUAUUACUGAAGAGACCACAGGGAUCUGUCCAAUUAUUCAAAUGCACAUCUGGAAAAAAUUCACCUGUCUUGAACUCUUGUUUGUUCAACAGCAAAACAAGCAAAAGCACCACAAAAUGCUCAAUCAGGGCGAUCUUUUCAAUUGUGGAGUCUGAACGUUUUCCCACCUGAGCAUCAUAAAUAAGGCAAAUUGCAUAAUAGGAUAAUAAUAGUUGUUGCUGAAAGAUGCAAUCAUAAAAUAAAAGGACCUUUCGAAAUCUGAGUAUAGAUGGUAAUUAUCCAGGAAUGGAAUACAAAGAGGAGCAAUUUCAAGGUUCCUGCUUCGUCUUGUUAUCGUGAAACUGAGACGGCCAAAUGCCAAAGAGGGCUCUUUCAGUUACAAGAGACCUUCCAAUGUCUUUGACAACAGUGCUAUUCCCUUCUGUUAGAGUGCUGUAGUACACCAUCUUGUAUAUCCGUCUAAUCUCAAAUGCCACAAUUCACAAAGUUGCCACUUGUUCUUUCCUGCUACCAAAACCAGAAUUCUAGCUGAUAAUGAAAAAUAAAACCAAGAUUCUCUUCUUUGCUGAUGAAGUCAGGAAGGUGGAAAGGGCAAAGCAAGAACUCUCACUCUUACCCUAUGAGUAAUUUCAAUAGAAAUCAAAGGCGUUAACUUCUCGGGUCCUCAAUUUUUUCUUCUCUAAAAAGAAAGAAUUGUUUAAUAAAACUCAUCCAAGGCUACAAUCAUCAAUGGCAGCUAAAACCACUUAGUGAAAGAAUUUUUUUUUUAAUAAAAAAAGGACAUUGGAUGAUGUCUCAACUCCCAAGCACUUGAUGUUUGACUUGGGAGUGGUGCCCUCAGUCACACCUAAAACUAUCUGCGGCAGACCCUGUUCUUUUUGGCUGACACAAAUGCCAUUCCCAACCUCCUUCUCCUCCUGUCUUGUCUCAAUCGUAGAGUCUAGAAGAGCAAACAUUCACUUUGCAGCCUCCCUUGUACCAAGGAGUGGCCAUGAGACAAUUCUGCCCAAUGAAUCAGAAGAGGAAUUGUGUUGAGGAUUUCUGGAAAGACUACUUCUUUUCCCAAGAAAAAGUGACAGACGCAGUAGGGGCUGAGCAACUUCCGUGCCUCUUCCAGCCUUACGGAUGUGCUGUUGGUAGCUGUGACUGCCUUGCUACUACGAGGAAAAGGAAGGCCAAGAGAAUAGCAGAGACACUCGCUCUGAUGCCUUUGAGCCAAUGAAUCAAUGCCAGAAGCAGCUGACCUCCAGAGUUCUUGUUACAGGAUUAAAAUAAAUCUCUACUUAUUUGCCAUUGUCACUUUGGUUUGUUUGUUUGUUUACUUGUUGCCAAGCACAUUCCUAACUGAUACACUGUUCACCAGAUUCCCUGGGAUUAGACAAUCAAACAUCUUUCUGUAACCAAGAAUGCAAAAGCUCCUCAACUGGAAAAUACUCAUGUGAAAGUUUAAAGGAAAAGCACAGGGAGUGAAAUAAAAUGCUUUCUUCUCCUGCCCACGGAAUCCAUUUAUUUCAUGUAGCUGUAAAAUCAGCCCUUUGCCCAAUUUCAUCAAGUCACAAAUUCUCAGGAUUGGAAAGGCAUUACUUUUAACCACCUGAUCUCCCUCUAAACAACCUCAUUAAGCAGCUAUUUAGCCUCUUCUUGAAUUAUGUAUAGUGACA